GUCUACGGCCAUGCUACCUGUACAAGCCUGAUCCCGUCUGAUCUGGGAAGCUAAGCAGGGUUGGGCCUGGUUGGUACUUGGAUGGGAGACCAUCUAGGAAGACCUGGUGCUAUAGGCG
rnacentral:rRNA from 1 species